ACCCAAUAGAUACCCGGGUAGUCCACGCCCUAAACGAUGAUGACUAGUUGUUGGAGGAGUUAAAUCCUUUAGUAAACGCAGCUAAACGCGUGAAGUCAUCCGCCUGGGGAGUACGGUCGCAAGAUUAAAACUCAAAGAAAUUGACGGGGACCCGCACAAGCAGUGGAGCAUGUGGUUCAAUUCGACGCAACGCGAAGAACCUUAUCCUGGUCUUGACAUCCUUUGACCGCCUUCGAAAGUUGGCUUUCCCUUCGGGGACAAAGAGACAGGUGCUGCAUGGCUGUCGUCAGCUCGUGUCGUGAGAUGUUGGGUUAAGUCCCGUAACGAGCGCAACCCACGCCUCUUGUUGCCAUCAUUAAGUUGGGCACUCUAGAGGGACUGCCAGUGUUAAACUGGAGGAAGGUGUGGAUGACGUCAAGUCCUCAUGGCCCUUAUGACCAGGGCUACACACGUGCUACAAUGCAGAGUACAAAGGGCUGCGAAACCGUGAGGUGAGCCAAUCCCAAAAACUCUGCUCAGUUCGGAUUGAAGUCUGC
rnacentral:rRNA from 1 species